GCCAGGUGUGGUGGUGCACUCCUGUAAUCCCCUCUGCUCAGGAGGCAGAGGCAGGAGGAUCUUGAGUUCAAAGCCAGACUCAGCAAUUUAGCGAGUUGCUAAGCAACUCAGUGAGACCCUGUCUCUA
rnacentral:sRNA from 1 species